rnacentral:rRNA from 1 species
GUGGGGAAUAUUGGACAAUGGGCGAAAGCCUGAUCCAGCCAUGCCGCGUGUGUGAAGAAGGUCUUCGGAUUGUAAAGCACUUUAAGUUGGGAGGAAGGGCAGUAAGUUAAUACCUUGCUGUUUUGACGUUACCGACAGAAUAAGCCCCGGCUAACUUCGUGCCAGCAGCCGCGGUAAUACGAAGGGUGCAAGCGUUAAUCGGAAUUACUGGGCGUAAAGCGCGCGUAGGUGGUUUUGUAAGUUGGAGGUGAAAUCCCCGGGCUCAACCUGGGAACUGCCUCCAAAACUGCAUGACUAGAGUACGGUAGAGGGUAGUGGAAUUUCCUGUGUAGCGGUGAAAUGCGUAGAUAUAGGAAGGAACACCAGUGGCGAAGGCGACUACCUGGACUGAUACUGACACUGAGGUGCGAAAGCGUGGGGAGCAAACAGGAUUAGAAACCCGGGUAGUCC